rnacentral:rRNA from 1 species
GACGAACGCUGGCGGCGUGCUUAACACAUGCAAGUCGAACGGAAAAGCCCUGCUUUUGUGGGGUGCUCGAGUGGCGAACGGGUGAGUAACACGUGAGUAACCUGCCCUUGACUUUGGGAUAACUUCAGGAAACUGGGGCUAAUACCGGAUAGGAGCUCCUGCUGCAUGGUGGGGGUUGGAAAGUUUCGGCGGUUGGGGACGGACUCGCGGCUUAUCAGCUUGUUGGUGGGGUAGUGGCUUACCAAGGCUUUGACGGGUAGCCGGCCUGAGAGGGUGACCGGCCACAUUGGGACUGAGAUACGGCCCAGACUCCUACGGGAGGCAGCAGUGGGGAAUAUUGCACAAUGGGCGGAAGCCUGAUGCAGCAACGCCGCGUGCGGGAUGACGGCCUUCGGGUUGUAAACCGCUUUCGCCUGUGACGAAGCGUGAGUGACGGUAAUGGGUAAAGAAGCACCGGCUAACUACGUG